rnacentral:rRNA from 2 species
GGGUUGUGAGGUUAAGCGACUAAGCGUACACGGUGGAUGCCCUGGCAGUCAGAGGCGAUGAAGGGCGUGCUAAUCUGCGAUAAGCGCCGGUAAGGUGAUAUGAACCGUUAUAACCGGCGAUACCCGAAUGGGGAAACCCAGUGUGACUCGUCACACUAUCAUUAACUGAAUCCAUAGGUUAAUGAGGCGAACCGGGGGAACUGAAACAUCUAAGUACCCCGAGGAAAAGAAAUCAACCGAGAUUCCCCCAGUAGCGGCGAGCGAACGGGGAGGAGCCCAGAGCCUGAAUCAGCAUGUGUGUUAGUGGAAGCGUCUGGAAAGGCGCGCGAUACAGGGUGACAGCCCCGUACACAAAAGCGCAUGUGCUGUGAGCUCGAUGAGUAGGGCGGGACACGUGGUAUCCUGUCUGAAUAUGGGGGGACCAUCCUCCAAGGCUAAAUACUCCUGACUGACCGAUAGUGAACCAGUACCGUGAGGGAAAGGCGAAAAGAACCCCGGCGAGGGGAGUGAAAAAGAACCUGAAACCGUGUACGUACAAGCAGUGGGAGCCCCACCACUAAGCCAGUGGUGAACUCCACAUACGCAUCCUUUGCUGAGGAUACGGUUAACGGAGCGCAAGCGACGUUCAACCGCAAAAGAAGCAGAGGGGGCUUAGUGGUGGGGUGACUGCGUACCUUUUGUAUAAUGGGUCAGCGACUUAUAUUCUGUAGCAAGGUUAACCGUAUAGGGGAGCCGGAGGGAAACCGAGUCUUAAUUGGGCGUUAAGUUGCAGGGUAUAGACCCGAAACCCGGUGAUCUAGCCAUGGGCAGGUUGAAGGUUGGGUAACACUAACUGGAGGACCGAACCGACUAAUGUUGAAAAAUUAGCGGAUGACCUGUGGCUGGGGGUGAAAGGCCAAUCAAACCGGGAGAUAGCUGGUUCUCCCCGAAAGCUAUUUAGGUAGCGCCUCGUGAAUUCAUCUCCGGGGGUAGAGCACUGUUUCGGCUAGGGGGCCAUCCCGGCUUACCAACCCGAUGCAAACUGCGAAUACCGGAGAAUGUUAUCACGGGAGACACACGGCGGGUGCUAACGUCCGUCGUGAAGAGGGAAACAACCCAGACCGCCAGCUAAGGUCCCAAAGUCAUGGUUAAGUGGGAAACGAUGUGGGAAGGCCCAGACAGCCAGGAUGUUGGCUUAGAAGCAGCCAUCAUUUAAAGAAAGCGUAAUAGCUCACUGGUCGAGUCGGCCUGCGCGGAAGAUGUAACGGGGCUAAACCAUGCACCGAAGCUGCGGCAGCGAACGUAUCACUUAAAGCGAUUCAGCGGGUUACGAUUGACGGAGCGAAGCGACGUCAAAGCGUAUACAAAGUCGAGUCGGUUUAAGGAUACGUUCGUUGGGUAGGGGAGCGUUCUGUAAGCCUGUGAAGGUGGCCUGUGAGGGUUGCUGGAGGUAUCAGAAGUGCGAAUGCUGACAUAAGUAGCGAUAAAGCGGGUGAAAAGCCCGCUCGCCGGAAGACCAAGGGUUCCUGUCCAACGUUAAUCGGGGCAGGGUGAGUCGACCCCUAAGGCGAGGCCGAAAGGCGUAGUCGAUGGGAAACGGGUUAAUAUUCCCGUACUUGGUGUUACUGCGAAGGGGGGACGGAGAAGGCUAUGUUGGCCGGGCGACGGUUGUCCCGGUUUAAGCGUGUAGGUGUGUGUUCCAGGUAAAUCCGGUUCACUUUAACACUGAGGCGUGAUGACGAGGCACUACGGUGCUGAAGCAACAAAUGCCCUGCUUCCAGGAAAAGCCUCUAAGCAUCAGGUAACACGAAAUCGUACCCCAAACCGACACAGGUGGUCAGGUAGAGAAUACCAAGGCGCUUGAGAGAACUCGGGUGAAGGAACUAGGCAAAAUGGUGCCGUAACUUCGGGAGAAGGCACGCUGACACGUAGGUGAAGUGAUUUACUCACGGAGCUGAAGUCAGUCGAAGAUACCAGCUGGCUGCAACUGUUUAUUAAAAACACAGCACUGUGCAAACACGAAAGUGGACGUAUACGGUGUGACGCCUGCCCGGUGCCGGAAGGUUAAUUGAUGGGGUCAGCGCAAGCGAAGCUCCUGAUCGAAGCCCCGGUAAACGGCGGCCGUAACUAUAACGGUCCUAAGGUAGCGAAAUUCCUUGUCGGGUAAGUUCCGACCUGCACGAAUGGCGUAAUGAUGGCCAGGCUGUCUCCACCCGAGACUCAGUGAAAUUGAACUCGCUGUGAAGAUGCAGUGUACCCGCGGCAAGACGGAAAGACCCCGUGAACCUUUACUAUAGCUUGACACUGAACAUUGAGCCUUGAUGUGUAGGAUAGGUGGGAGGCUUUGAAGUGUGGACGCCAGUCUGCAUGGAGCCGACCUUGAAAUACCACCCUUUAAUGUUUGAUGUUCUAACGUGGACCCGUAAUCCGGGUUGCGGACAGUGUCUGGUGGGUAGUUUGACUGGGGCGGUCUCCUCCUAAAGAGUAACGGAGGAGCACGAAGGUUGGCUAAUCCUGGUCGGACAUCAGGAGGUUAGUGCAAUGGCAUAAGCCAGCUUGACUGCGAGCGUGACGGCGCGAGCAGGUGCGAAAGCAGGUCAUAGUGAUCCGGUGGUUCUGAAUGGAAGGGCCAUCGCUCAACGGAUAAAAGGUACUCCGGGGAUAACAGGCUGAUACCGCCCAAGAGUUCAUAUCGACGGCGGUGUUUGGCACCUCGAUGUCGGCUCAUCACAUCCUGGGGCUGAAGUAGGUCCCAAGGGUAUGGCUGUUCGCCAUUUAAAGUGGUACGCGAGCUGGGUUUAGAACGUCGUGAGACAGUUCGGUCCCUAUCUGCCGUGGGCGCUGGAGAACUGAGGGGGGCUGCUCCUAGUACGAGAGGACCGGAGUGGACGCAUCACUGGUGUUCGGGUUGUCAUGCCAAUGGCACUGCCCGGUAGCUAAAUGCGGAAGAGAUAAGUGCUGAAAGCAUCUAAGCACGAAACUUGCCCCGAGAUGAGUUCUCCCUGAGACUUUAAGUCUCCUGAAGGAACGUUGAAGACGACGACGUUGAUAGGCCGGGUGUGUAAGCGCAGCGAUGCGUUGAGCUAACCGGUACUAAUGAACCGUGAGGCUUAACCUUACAACGCCGAAG